UACGUAGGGUCCGAGCGUUGUCCGGAAUUAUUGGGCGUAAAGGGCUCGUAGGCGGUCUGUUGCGUCGGGAGUGAAAACUUACAGCUUAACUGUGAGCGUGCUUCCGAUACGGGCAGACUUGAGGUAUUCAGGGGAGAACGGAAUUCCUGGUGUAGUGGUGAAAUGCGCAGAUAUCAGGAGGAACACCGGUGGCGAAGGCGGUUCUCUGGGAAUAUCCUGACGCUGAGGAGCGAAAGUGUGGGGAGCGAACAGG
rnacentral:rRNA from 1 species